UCAUCAGAUGUUCAUGGCUGGACCAUGUAAACAUGUACAAGUCAUUUUUUCCAGCUGAUGAAAUGAAAGCUAAGACUGAGCCUUUGUCGGUUCCCCUGCUGCCUCAAAACUUGUAUUUCUGGUGACUGUAUAAGGAAUGUGGCUCCUGGCUGAAGUUGACUCUCUCUGUGGCUGGGCCCACUGGGCAUACUUGAGAAGAAAGCAAGGAGAACACAUGGAAAGAUUUUCAAAGAAAAGUUAUGAAGUUCAUUUUCACUGAACACAGAAAGGGCUAAAGGGUACCAUCAUCCAGAAGAAUUUCAAAGAUGUAGCCAGAAUCACAGGUCUUAUUGUAAAAACAAGUAGCUGCCUUUGAACAUUUAAAAUGGGUAUAAUAUGCAAAGUAUUUGAGAUUUUUAAUCUUUUUCUUCUCCUUCUUCUUCUUCUUUUUUUUUUUUUUUUUUUUUUUUUGAGACAGGGUCUCCCCGCUGUGGCCCAGGCUAGAAUGCAGUGGUAUGAUCAUGGCUCACUGCAGCCUCAACCUCCCAGGCUGAAUCAAUCAUCCCACCUCAGCUUCCUGAGUAGCUGGGACUACAGGCACAUAGCACCAUGCCCGGCUAAUUUUUGUUUUGUAUUUUUUGUAGAGACAGGGUCUUGGCCAUGUUGCUCAGGUUGGCCUUGAACUCCUGGACUCAAGUGAUCUCCCCACCUCACUCAGCCUCCCAAAGUGCUGGGAUUAGAGGUGUAAGCCACCAUGCCCGGCCUGAGAAUUGUAAUUUUCUAUCUCACUGUGUGUGUGUUCUUUUCCUUUUUAGUAGGUCUGCUUCAAAUUGCAAAAUCCUGGAUUCAUAAUCCCUGUAGGCGUACAAAGCAAUGUUUUACACCAAAGUGGGAAAAGAUACUUGGGUGGCACAUAUGGCUAAGCAGUAGUCUGACUGUGACACUCAAGAUGCUGAAGACUGAGUUUCCAAAUCUAAUGUUUCUGAGAAAUGGAUAGAAAGAGAAUUUCAUGCUGUACACCUUUGGAAACAAAGGGAAACUUCUUCUUUUAAAAAAGGCUUCAUCUACUGACCAGGGGUGC
rnacentral:lncRNA from 1 species